GAAAGUCCAGAACCGGUCGAAUCAACUCUGGAUCCAGGGAUCGGCCACUUUUGGAUAUGCAAAACCCUAAAUAAGUUAACUCCUCACCCAUCAGGAUACACUUUGCCGGGCUUCAGACGACCUCCAGCAUUCGAGAUUCGACUGAACAUUUCAUUUAAAAUACGAAAGUGUUCCUCCUUACUUCUGGAGAAAAUGAGGGCAUCUUGACACCAUAAAUACCACUGAAUAGCCUCUCUUGAGCUGCCUGCAUAAUAGCAGGAGCUGAGGCCAGACCAUAAGGUAAGAUGUUAUAUCUAUAAAGUCCUAACUUUGUAUUUAUAACCAAAAACUCUUUUGAUUUUUCUUCCAAUUCAUAUUGUUCAUAACACCUCGAAAAAUCCAAUUUGGAUUGGAAAUUUCGGGCCUGAGCAAGGUCCGCAAACAAUUCAUCUGGAUGAGGGAGUGGGUACAACAUGUUGUACACAACUGGACAGAUGGGUUGAGUAAAGUUGGCACACACCCGAACACUUCCAUCUGGUUUGAGGACUGAAACGAUUGGAGAGGCCUAUUCUGACGAAUCAAUCUUGGAAAUGAUACUGGGCUUCUCCAUCUCUCAGUUCUCCACAGUGACGUUUUCACGGAGUGCAAGUGGCACUGAACGUGCUCUGAUGUAACGGGGACGAGCAUUAUCUUGCAGGUGGAUCACUGCUUGUAAUUUCCACACGGGAUUCUGUAGAAGCACAAGCCGUACAUUGCGUUGAUGGAAUUGCUCAACUUCACCAACCCAAAAUCUAGUUAAUGACGAAAACCCAGGAUUGGCUGCCCAAUAGGAGAUACAAUAAACUUACGAACUACCGGGUCAGAACCAUUUAAUGAAACCAACAACCUGAUAGAGCCCAGAGUCUUGACCUUUCCCCCACCAAAUCAUCUAUUGGACCCGUAUUCUUGAUCACCUUUGACAUAUCCACCAGAUGAUUUGGAAGGUAUAGGCUCCAUCCCCUACUCCAUCAUUCAACUGGAAAGAGAUUGAAGAACUAGACAGUGCAGAUGACGGACAGCAUACUCUAAAAUGGCCCAUCUUCUCACAACGGGAAUACUCCUUGCCAAGCGCAGGGCAUUUUGUUUUCUGUAAGACAUGGCUUCUUCCACAAAACUUGCAGUUCCCUCUGUCCAUCUUUGGAUAAGCCUUUUGCGUCGAACACGACCCUUUAGAGCGACGGAGACCUCUUGGCCCCUUAUACUCGGAUGUCAUUACAGUUUCACUCGAUCCCAUUUCUUUGGCGCGUGGCCAAUGGAGGUAUUCAAUGCUCUGGCUAAUGGCAACACGUCUGUCAAUUUUGUGCUGCCUUUCUCAAAGACAGUUUGGCGAAGCUGUGGGGACGACUUGUUCUUAAACACCACGUUGAGAAUAAUUUAUUCUUCGAACGAAAUUUUGCAGCUCCCACACGCAAAGCGACCAAACUUUGCCUGGCCACAAAACUGAGUCAUGUAAUCAUCCACAGGCUCUCCAACUCCCUGUUUCAUCUCAGAGAGCUGGAAGCGUUCAAACAACAUACUUUCCAUUGGGGAGAAAAGAUCCCCAAUUGCGCUUACCGUCGAGGUGAAGACAUCCUCCUCAGGCAAAGCAACAAUUUGUAUGGUGUUGAACCAUUGUUGGACCUCUGUCCCAGCACAGUGAAGCAGGAGAUACUUUUUACAUUCCCCAAACAAGGUAACGUAAAUUUCGAAUUCGUCACACCAUGACCACCAUCUAUAGCCCCUUCGUGGACCAUCCAUCAAGAAUGGAGAGGACUGCCGUACACCAAGCUGUCCCGUCGUGCCUGGAGCACUAUCUUCAGGGGCUUCCGCCCAUCGUUGAAGUCGAAGGACUUGGGAUAACAGCGACAACCCUCGAUGUACUUUUUCACCAAUGCCACGAGUUCCAAUUUCUUUUUACCCCUCAAUUUGUCCUAACUUCCAAGUUCCAACUUGGAACAUUCGCAUCUCAGCUCCGCGAGCGUGAGCCUCGAUAGUAAUUUCACCAUAUUCGUCGCCACUUGUAAUGUUCUACGAACACCACCAACAGACAGAAGUAAGGAAUCAGAGUAACGCCAAUAAGAACACCUUUGGAUUGGGGGUACA
rnacentral:lncRNA from 1 species